AUUGAACGCUGGCGGCAGGCCUAACACAUGCAAGUCGAGCGAGCGGCGGACGGGUGAGUAAUGUCUGGGAAACUGCCUGAUGUAGGGGGAUAACUACUGGAAACGGUAGCUAAUACCGCAUACCAUCAGAUCUGCCCAGAUGGGAUAAGCUGGUAGGUGGGGUAACGGCUCACCUAGGCGACGAUCCCUAGCUGGUCUGAGGGGAUGACCAGCCACACUGGAAGUGCGACAAGGUCCAGACUCCUACGGGAGGCAGCAGUGGGGAAUAUUGAACAGUGGGCGAAAGCGUGAUGCAGCCAUGCCGCGUGGGUGAAGAGGGCCUUCGGGUUGUAAAGCACUUUCAGCGGGGAGGCGUUACCCGCAGAAGAAGCACCGGCUAACUCCGUGCCAGCAGCCGCGGUAAUUC
rnacentral:rRNA from 1 species